rnacentral:lncRNA from 1 species
AUGCUAAUCCCGGUAGAUGGGACAUGUGAGAUGUGAGCUUGGGGCGAAUUUGAUGAACCCCGAAAAGAUUGGGUAAAGGCUAAAGUGAAUGUGUGAAAGUAUGCAUUAUGAGCUAUGAAUUUGGUAUUCCAGUUUAGUGGAUUUAUGGCUGAGGUGCAUGUGGGACGUCCUUCACCUCGAGCCUGGAUGUAUGCGGUAUUCCGCAGAUGAUUGACUCAAGACCGAGUCGGGUGGUUAGCUUGGCUAGGGUAGAGGAAAACCUUAGGAGCAAAUAACCAAUGAUAUAAAGUGAUAAGAUGUAUAAAUUAUGAAAAAGCUAUAGAUAGCAUCAUACAAAGUAAAAUCAUAUAUUC